UCGAGAAUCUUCGGCAAUGGGCGCAAGCCUGACCGAGCGACGCCGCGUGGAGGACGAAGGCCUUCGGGUUGUAAACUCCUGUCGAGGGGGAAGAAGUCCCGACUUGUCGGGAUUGACUGAUCCCUGGAGGAAGCACGGGCUAAGUUCGUGCCAGCAGCCGCGGUAAGACGAACCGUGCGAACGUUAUUCGGAAUCACUGGGCUUAAAGCGCGUGUAGGCGGGAAGGUACGUCGGUCGUUGAAAUCCCCCGGCUCAACCGGGGAAGUGGCGCCGAUACGGCCUUCCUGGAGGAACGUAGGGGGACCUGGAACUUCCGGUGGAGCGGUGAAAUGCGUUGAGAUCGGAAGGAACGCCCGUGGCGAAAGCGAGGUCCUGGACGUUUUCUGACGCUGAGACGCGAAAGCCAGGGGAGCAAACGGGAUUAGAUACCCGCGUAGUCC
rnacentral:rRNA from 1 species